rnacentral:lncRNA from 1 species
CGGAAACAAGAUGGCUACAUCCACGAAGGUUAUUUUAGCGCUUGCCUUUCAGGUGUCCGAUUUUGCUUACUUUCCGACUUGGAAACCGAAACGCUGGUAACUCGGGUGUGAUGUCAUUUUCGGCUCGGACUUCUGACUUCCAGGUCACUCGAACACUCGAACGCAGCAUUACUUUUUCACUUUUUAUUUUUUAUUUUAUUUAUUUUUUAUUAUCUUGAUACAUUAAUAUGCGUCCAAUCUGGGGUUUUUUAUAUAAAUUUCUGUAACUGGUUUGUUGUCGUGUAAUCGUUUUAUUUUUCUUGAUUGUUGUACAUGUAGGUCUAUUUUUAAGUUUGAAGGAGAAAAAACUCCCCCCCUAAUGAGUCUGCUCCACAGACUGUAUCAGUUAGUGCCAACCAUACUGGACAAAUUACAGGUUGCUCACUAUUUUAUUACUUAAAUGACAUGAUAUGCAAAGUAUCAACACUACGUCUGUGUAAGUAAACUCCCAUCAAAUCAAAUACAAAUUUUAUUGAGUGCUUUGUGAUUGAUUAUCAUUGGGUGUACAUGCCAUGUAAGUCAGUUUGAAUGUUUUUCAUAUUCAUUCAUUUGGUAAUCGCAAAUAAUAUGAAUUUAAUUCAAGAGAUUCUUUAUCUCAAAAUGAGUACACUAAAUAAUUUUGUCAUAACAGACUUUUCUGUAGUGUGCACUGGGGAAAAAAAUUACCCCUUUUACUCCUUUCAACAGCAAGUUUUCUGACCAGCCAGCAAAUUAUUUAGACCAGAGCUUAUUCACUCUGAUAACGUUACAGAAUUAUAUAUCUUGUUUAGUAAUAAUGGUCUUUUUGAGAUUAUGACUGAGAAAUCAAUGAACUUUCUCUUCAUACAAAAAUCUGAAGAAUAUGAGCAUGUGACAGCUGAUUUAAGUGUGUAGGGUCCAUCAUUAACACCACCGCUUCAACCAUCUUCAGACAACGUCAUUAACAGUCCAUCUUUAAGCAGUUCUGUGAAGUUCAACCUGGCAUUCAGCUGCUUCAUCAGAAGCUGUGUUUCAUCUCUUAUUAGAGAUUAACUUCACAGAGACCCCUGUGACGUGUUGUCACAGUAAGCCAUGUUGGGUGGAGUAUCAAAGUGGGUGCCCCAUUGAGCUUUAGCAGAGCUUCCUCUUCAUUGGCUUGGAAAAAAGAAGACCACAUGUGGCAGGAUCUUCAAAAAGUCAAGCAAUCUAGAUAAUUUGAGGGUUCGCUGCAGGAGUCCGAGCUGCACAUUUCUUUGGGCCAAUUCUUUAGAGGUUCUUCACCAUUUUGCAAAGCCCUUUGCUCUCAUCAGCAGAUAAAAAUAUUAAUGAUGUAAUAAGUCAACUCCUAAUUCUUAGUAUGUGCUAUAUACUGUGUGAUGUUGAGUGAUAAAGGGAAUAAGAUAUAACCCUCACUGAAGACAUAGUCAUUCAUUUAAAUGAAGUCUGUUUACACUCAUGGUGUGUAUCUUGGAGUCUAAUUCAAGUGUGUACCAAAAAGUUUUGAAUAUCAUCUCAACACAGAUUAAAAUUAAAAUAGCAAUAGUGUUUUGAGCCGAAUAUAGAUGAUUGAUAAAUUUUGAUCAUAUCCUUUAACCAAGACCUCAAUUAAUUGUGACAGUCAGGUGAGAAACAGAAGAUUAUUGUUCUCAUCAGUCCAGUUAGUCACAGACGAUUCUAAUUAAGUGUUGAUGAACAGAGGACAGGUAGAGCUAAAACAAGAGAAGUAACAUUUAAAAGAGUGAUAACAUUUAGAUAUGACCAUUGGUACAUGGGUAUCCAUUUGCCAGGGAAAGGCACUGAAGGAAGAUUUGAAUAAUUCAUCCGAGUUAAACCCAUUAAGAAUAUCCAUGUGGACACUUUUUUGAUGUUAAAGACAGUGUAUGAUCUCAGGGUGCUUUCAAACUACAUCUGGCCUUACUUGUGGUGUCUGUUUUCCCCUGAAGCGACAAAGAUCAACUGGCUCCUGUGUUAAUUCUGCAGAAGUGUACUGUACAGAGGUUUCUGGUGCAGAGUUGGCAGGCCAGCUACCCUGUCAGUGCUGUCUGAAUACAAUCUCUCAAAAACGAGAAAAUGUCAAAUUACAUGGAACAUCUUUCAAAAUUUGUAUGUAUGAAAAAAGUAAUAUUACUGUCAAAUGACUUAAACUCCAAACUUUGAUUAAUAUCCUACUUUUACCUCAAAUGUUCUCUGGCUUGUAUCACUUGAAGAAAGCCCAUGUGAGAAUUGCCACUCUCUACUUUCUUAUUAGUUCAUAUGAAAUUAAUGUUGUUUACUGAUUUUCUGCAAACACAUCAGUCCAAUCUUCAUCCAUCUGAUAGGUUUCCCCUCUUGUAUUUCACAAAAAUAUUUGGAGGUGAUGCAAACCCUAGCAACAACUCCAAGAUCUCGUAGUAACAUAAAUCAUCAAAAAUCUCUCAGACUUCUCCACCGUGAAAACCAGACAAAGAGCAAAGAGCAUGUGAGCAUUUGAAUGAAAGGUAAUUCAGCAUAGCUCUUGACACGGAUCGCAAAGGAAAACAACAUCUUGCCAUCGCCUCCUACAGCACAAGUGCUGUCAGAGCAUUUCUGUUUUUUUUGCCCAGUGGUCACUUCACUCUUCACUUUACUCACCCCCCGUAGUGAAGGUGAGAAUCAGAGUGGGAGGUUUGGUGUGUGAGGCAGGUGAGGCAGAGGCUCACCUUUAAGGCCUGGCUGCUUCUCCCAACCUCAACAUCAUGCUCUGCGUUUAGGCAGGACAUCUGCCAGCCAAAGGCAAAUCUAGUGCAUACAUUUUAAUACGAGUAUGAGCCUUAACAAACUUCCAAAAAGCCCAUGAGCUACAAAUCACAGCUCAUCCAGCAGGUAGCAGAAUCUGUCCUUGUUUGCAUAUUCCUUGCUGUAUAAUAUCCAUGAGGGAUUGAAACAGGCUUGUGACCCUGUGUGAUUCCUUCAGCGGUCAGUAGCCGGGGGCCACUAAGGUAGGCUCAGGAGAGCUUCCCACACAAGAGCCAGCGACAAGCCCUGCACAGAAAAACUGCCAGGGAAGCACAAUAAAGAUAAUUAGCAAUGAGACCACUUACCGCCUGUAGCCCCCCCACUAUCUUCAGCCCACUAUCCCCUGGAUAUCUCAGCCCCUUCAUCCUGAAACUGUGUUUAACUCACCCCUCUAUCUGCUCCUGCUCCACUCAAUCAUAUUCUGUACAGAAUCUGUCAGACUGAGAAGAGAAGCACUGUUCUCCAGCUGGAGCAGUUUAUGGCUAUUGUUAGCAGAAGAGUUACACAAUUGGAGAGAUAACUUAUUAAGAUUUCAUACCUUAGUUUGAUAAAUCUGACUUAAGUAUAUCUUAAUCUUGUCUUCCUGCUCUCAAGCUUGUGCCUCUCUCUUAAAAGAUUAAAAUUUCUUGCAACAGUCAUGUCUUAGCUUAAAUAUAUAGCUAGAGCUAGCAGCUACUUAGCAUAUCAAAACAGUUGGAGUGCAGUUUUACAAUUUGUUUGUGUAAAGAUAUGUUCACUUAUUCAACUCAGAGCUGCUUGUCAGUGUGUUUUAUGUCAUUUGCGCAAAGCUAUUCUGAACCAUUUUAACCUGCUUCAUUCACUUUUCUAUGCUUUAGCUUUAGCUUUAUGGGACAAACGUGAAAUCAGAGUCAAUUUUCUCCCCAAACUCUUAGCAAAUAAGCAAAUUUCAAAAACAGAUGAAUACUAUGCUUGAAUUUAAAAAUGACGUGCCACAUUACACACUGCAUAUUAGCCCUCAAAUUUCAGGCCUCAGCUCUGAGUCCUCGCUGUAGUCUCUGUGAAAAUCCAGUUUUGAAAAAAAACAAGGUCGACUGGUGUUUAGCAACCCAUUACUGGACCCACGACACUCCACCAUUAUCCCAGCCCUUCAGCCAUGUUACUUCUAUCUGAAAACAAGGUAGUGUAAUUUAGAAUGCAUUUCAGAGCAAUUAAAAUUUCUCAGGCACAAUUACUUAUUCCCCCAGUGGGACCACCUCAAUCAGUCUAUGUGUGUAAUGGGUUUACGGCCUUGACGCGGCAAACAUGUCCUGCCUAUCUGCCUCGUGCUCUUCUCAAGGCUGUGGUUAUUAAUUGUGGCUAAAGUUGAUAAAUAAAAUCACCAGUGCUCUUAAUGCUAAUUAGUGUUUGAGAUAAUAUUUAUGAUUUCAUAAGCACAUAUUUCUCCAAAGGCUCAGGCAUUGUGCCCCCUAUCCAUUGGUCAUAGGCUGUCUUGGAUGUAAUCUAUCUUUGGGGAGAGGAGAGGCCGAAAGUGGGGCCCAAGGAAACACAGGCAGUAAAUACUAAUAGUACUUAGUGGGUACUUUGGGAGUGGGAGUAUUUCAGGCAAUUUAUUGAGCUGGGCUACUAAAGUGAAGAUACAGGGCUUUAUGGGGAGGAAUAUAUAUAUGAUAAAUAAGACUGUUUUGAAAAUAAGAAACACGCUCAUGUUAAAGCUACACGUAAUCAUGUUUUUAUAUAUUACAGCUGGACUCCGUGAUUACGUGUAUUUGUUGGAGGUUGCUUUCAGUGUCCCAAAAUAAUCUGGUGCAGCAGGCACAAUUUUCUGACAAAAAAAACAUCAUUAUGAAACUAUACUUUGUUAGGUAAGGACUUUUUUUCUCAUGUUAUUUUUAAGAUCAUUCAGUUUUAAACAUUUGUUGCUGAGCAUAUAAGGAAAGCUUGAUAAGCUAAAAACAGUUUAUUCACUACAUGGCAUAACCACCAGCAAAAAAAUGUUGAGUUAGGCAACUAUGAUAACUGAAACAACAUUUACAGCUAUUGUCUCUGAGCAGAAUAUUUUGGAUGGUCCCAGAAGUCUAAAGACCUACCUCCUAUCUGGAUCAUCUGUAAACACAGGGACUUCCUGAUAAACUUAGUGCUGAAUUUUCUCUAGAGGUCACAGUUGAGUCCUGUGUCUACUAGUGGUUUUACUAGGAGCACAUAUUGUCUUUAUAUUACUAAUGCAGUUCAGCAUUUUCAGUGUCCUAAGAGCAAAAAUCCCCAGAGGCAUCAACCUCAUUUUUUUCCAGCAGUGUCAGUUGAAAAGGUUCAACUUUUCCAUACACAGCUGGGAUUUUCAGAGUCACUGCUUCUUCAUCAAAAUGAGACGAUAUCAAUGAUAUCUGAUAUCAGUAUAGUCAACGACAGUGGCAAACACAAUUUCUAUCAAUAGAUUUAAUAUUUUCUUUGUAAAUUGAAUCAAAUAAAAGCAAAUAUAAAGCAUACAGAGCAAUUUGAAACAGACUUUAGGAUAAAUACUGAGGAAUGCAUAAGUACUGUGGGACAAAUUUUGUAAUUUAGCAAAAGUGAGUGCCAUGAGAGAUACUGACAUCAAAGUUGUGGGUGCCAAAAGAGUGAGAAAUAUGACAGAAGUCGAAACAGACUUUACUGCAGUUUAACAUUGUCAAAAGAUUAAGAUUUGAUGUCGAAUUCAAGCUUACAAUCUCCACUGUUAAUGUUAAUGUGGAAAUAAAAUCCUUAAUUUUUUCAGACAGGCUUGAAAUAGAAAUGCUCAAACACAGAUUCUGUAGUGACACACGAGAAAGAGAAACAAAGGUCAAGAGAAGGGUCCCUAUCUUUUAAACAAUGAAGUCACAAAUAUGACUUCUCUUGUUUUCAUUUUAACCCAUUGUACAGAGCAGCUUUGUAUGGCUUGAUCCACUCUGUGUUUGCAGUCCUCUGUAGCCUGCAGUGAGCUGCUGAGAUGAUCUUGACAGGAGCCCCUUCCUCUCGCUUGCCCGGCGCGCAGGCAUUGAGAAGCACUUCAGCUACUUUUUAACAUCACAACAAGCUGGUGCCGGUGGCUCACUGGUCGGACUAUUGAUCCAAGUCACCACAUCAAGGUGAGCAUCAGUGCUGCAGAGUCCAUUGUGGGACCUCAUCCUGAAAGAGCAGAGCUGUCCACAGCUCUAGGCGAUGCCCGAAAGAGUGACAAGUGCUGAAACCACUUCAAGGGGUCUAACAGUGCCCUCAGCCCUUUCUAGUCCCCGCUUCAAAGCUGAGAGCAGCCUCUGGCAGUUCACCCCCUCCUCUUUCUCCCUCCCUCUCCCCCUCUGUACGGUCCUCUGGGGUAGCUUGCUGGUCCUGUUCUCCUCUCUCAGGGCCGUCAAUGUCAAAGCAUGAGUGAGUCCAGUCAAAGCCAGCACCCCCCCUUUCCAACACACACACACACUAACACACACACAUACACACUUGUUUUAUUUUCCUUUCUCCCUUUAAGUUUUCUCUUUCCCUCUGAUGCACAGGUCCCAUCCCCUCUGCAUGACUGGCCCUCUCUGACAAGUGGAAAUCCCAGAGAUCCUGCUGGCAAAAGAUGGAGAGUGAAGAAGACUUCAGAAACGUGUACCCUACAGCUAUCACUGUCCUGAACUCAAGAAUGAAGACACCAAGCACAUCUCCUCUGCUACAUACUACAAAAACUAGUGAGAACGUCUUCACAAAAAAUUUAAAGGGGGGGUUGAAAAAAGGGCUGUACGGUGAUUUUUUUGACUUUCUAAGAUAAAUAAGUGAUAAAAAGGAAGGAAGAGAGGGUGCUUUACUUUGCCAAAAGGGACCUUGGGUUUUGCCCUGUGGGCAUGGCAGCUUUCAUUUUCCUCUUUCGCCGUCCAUAUUCCCUGCUGGUUUCCGGAGUUAUGAUUGAGUUUCACAUAUUGGAGUUAUAUCUAGCAGCCAGACUUGUUUAUCUGCUGGAGCUGAUAACUGUACGGGCCUGAGUAUGAAACAGAAAGAGAAGGGAGGGAGAAGGAGAGUGGGAGGAAGGUACAGACAGACAGACAGGCCACUCAUAUAUUCUCAUCUCCUCCAGUCUUUUCUCAUUGAUUUAGCAUGUCUUCAUCAACAGUCUGACCCAGGUACAGCUUUCUGUCUUUAUCUCACACUGCAGCUCAGACCUCUCUUAUAGACUUGGCAGGAGUAUCUGACGAGCGUGUCUGUCAAACAGAAGAAAAUGGAUUCAACAACACCAAGGACAUAGUUUAUGGGGACAUAAGGACACCAGAUGACAAUAGUUUUGUACAUUUAUUGUUUAAAGUCUGCUUUACAGAUGUCUUUUGCUUCCCAGAUUAAAAAGUUAGACCCUUUAAUUUACUGCUUGCCUCAAAUAUCCAUCUUCCUUUAGUAAGAGACAUAGAUUUAGUAAAAAACAGACAGUUGUGUCAGGAUGCUGUCCCAGGCCACCUGAAUUCAAUCACAAAUGAUAGCAGAAAUUUAGCACAGGGGCUUUAAGUGAAAUCACAUGGAUUGCUGCACACUAUCUGACCUGGUGGUAAUCUCAUUUUAACCUCCUGUGUCACAUCAUCCUCAGGAGCGAGCCUGUCAUUUUUCGGGACUCAACAGCUGUCGAGUCUAGUUGAAAGAAAAGUGAGACAAAGAGACUCGGGAAAGGCUGAGAAAGGGAGAGAAAGGGAAAAAAAGGACUGAGGGAGAGCCAAAAGAGAGAGAGCAAGCAGUGCUCGACGGACCCUGACUGCGUGCGAGGCCUCAAUUAUUCAUGCGGCAGUGCACACGUCAAGAGCCCACAGACAAGCACAACAGCAAGGCCGAGCGCAAAUCAAACAGCGCAUCCGUGGGUAAUGCCCACAAUGCACCUGGAGGAACACACCUCGGCCCAUUUCUCUGUUGUUCUCGGAUAAACAGAGAACAAGGCUACCUGAGCACUGCCUGAUUCUCCUCCAGAGCCAAGAGCUGCUGUAAGACUCUUUGUUUGUUUGUUUUUUCACCCCACUUUAUUUACUCGCUUCUUUUCGCUGGCAGAGAUGUUGGUGCCAGUGGGUUCCAUCUUUUCAUGGCUCAUUAGGCGGCUGUUUCGUUCACUUUAUUUCUCUGAACUAGCUAUCAUGCCCUUAGUGUUGUCUAAGUCCACUGCCUCUCUUUGCCGGUCCCCAACAUGUCUACAUUAACUACGGCUGAGGUUUGUCUCCUCAAUUGCUGGAGGUUAACAGAUAGCUCCAGACUUCCAUUCUCAUCUUGUCUUAGUUUAUCGACCACUGCCUGGCUGUCUACUCUGUUUCUUCUCUCCAUAUUCUCCCAAGCAUGCUCACAAAACUCAUGCAGACUUUUUUCAAUAUUAUUGUUCAUCUGUUCAAGGCUCCAAAACAGCGCACAGCACAAGAAAUUGAAGCUCAUCAUUCAAACGAUUGCUCGGAGCCACAGUCUGCAUGUUCAGCAGUUUGUGUCUUACUGUCAUGCUGUUUUAAAAUAACCUCAUGACAAAACUAAGUUGCUUUUCUUGUUAGCUGUUGUGUCUUAUUCUUGUUAUCUUGCAGGAUCCAGUCCAGAUUCCGACUUCAGGGAUCUUUGUCUCUGUACAUAAGGUGCAUAAUGUAACGUCUGGACCAAACUGACACCCUGUUGUUGAAACUCCCCGUGGAACUUUUUUCAAUCUAUUAACAAAAGUUAACUUAAUAGUUCCAGGUAGUUUAGCGGCUGUUUUAUCCCACCAUUUGGGAUAUUUAUGAGGUAAAAUAUAUCAACAUCUUGUGGUUGAUCAGAACUUCAUUAUAUUGUGAAAUUUUUUUG